GACGAACGCUGGCGGCGUGCCUAAUACAUGCAAGUCGAGCGGACGGAUGGGAGCUUGCUCCCAGACCGUCAGCGGCGGACGGGUGAGUAACACGUGGGCAACCUGCCUGUAAGACUGGGAUAACUCCGGGAAACCGGGGCUAAUACCGGAUAACUCUUUCCCUCACAUGAGGGAAAGCUGAAAGAUGGCAUCUCGCUAUCACUUACAGAUGGGCCCGCGGCGCAUUAGCUAGUUGGUGAGGUAACGGCUCAUCAAGGCGACGAUGCGUAGCCGACCUGAGAGGGUGAUCGGCCACACUGGGACUGAGACACGGCCCAGACUCCUACGGGAGGCAGCAGUAGGGAAUCUUCCGCAAUGGACGAAAGUCUGACGGAGCAACGCCGCGUGGGUGAUGAAGGUUUUCGGAUCGUAAAACUCUGUUGUCAGGGAAGAACAAGUACCGGAGUAACUGCCGGUACCUUGACGGUACCUGACCAGAAAGCCACGGCUAACUACGUG
rnacentral:rRNA from 1 species